rnacentral:rRNA from 1 species
UACAGAGGUCCCAAGCGUUGUUCGGAUUUAUUGGGCGUAAAGGGUGCGUAGGCGGCGUCGCAAGUCGGGUGUGAAAUUUCGGAGCUCAACUCCGAAACUGCAUUCGAUACUGCGGUGCUUGAGGACUGGAGAGGAGACUGGAAUUUACGGUGUAGCAGUGAAAUGCGUAGAGAUCGUAAGGAAGACCAGUGGCGAAGGCGGGUCUCUGGACAGUUCCUGACGCUGAGGCACGAAGGCCAGGGGAGCAAACGGG